CCUACGGGGUGCAGCAGUGAGGAAUAUUGGUCAAUGGACGAGAGUCUGAACCAGCCAAGUAGCGUGAAGGAUGACUGCCCUAUGGGUUGUAAACUUCUUUUAUAAAGGAAUAAAACGAGGCACGUGUGCCUUUUUGCAUGUACUUUAUGAAUAAGGAUCGGCUAACUCCGUGCCAGCAGCCGCGGUAAUACGGAGGAUCCGAGCGUUAUCCGGAUUUAUUGGGUUUAAAGGGAGCGUAGAUGGGUUGUUAAGUCAGUUGUGAAAGUUUGCGGCUCAACCGUAAAAUUGCAAUUGAUACUGGCAGUCUAGAGUACAGUUGAGGUAGGCGGAAUUCGUGGUGUAGCGGUGAAAUGCUUAGAUAUCACGAAGAACCCCGAUUGCGAAGGCAGCUUACUAAACUGUGACUGACAUUGAUGCUCGAAAGUGUGGGUAUCAAACAGGAUUAGAGACCCCAGUAGUC
rnacentral:rRNA from 1 species